GAGGAAUAUUGGUCAAUGGGAGAGAUCCUGAACCAGCCAAGCCGCGUGAGGGAAGACGGCCCUAUGGGUUGUAAACCUCUUUUGUCGGAGAACAAAACCCGGGACGUGUCCCGGACUGCGUGUAUCCGAAGAAAAAGCAUCGGCUAACUCCGUGCCAGCAGCCGCGGUAAUACGGAGGAUGCGAGCGUUAUCCGGAUUUAUUGGGUUUAAAGGGUGCGUAGGCGGUCUGUUAAGUCAGCGGUAAAAUUGCGGGGCUCAACCCCGUCGAGCCGUUGAAACUGGCAGACUUGAGUUGGCGAGAAGUACGCGGAAUGCGCGGUGUAGCGGUGAAAUGCAUAGAUAUCGCGCAGAACUCCGAUUGCGAAGGCAGCGUACCGGCGCCAGACUGACGCUGAGGCACGAAAGCGUGGGGAUCGAACAGGAUUAGAUACCCUGGUAGUCCACGCAGUAAACGAUGAAUGCUGGUUGUCCGGGUCGAAUGAGACCUGG
rnacentral:rRNA from 1 species